AUCUUCCACAAUGGGUGAAAGCCUGAUGUAGCAACGCCUCGUGUGUGAAGUAGGAUCUCCGAUCGUAAAACCCUGUUGUAAGGGAAGAACAAGUACAGUAGUAACUGGCUGUACUUCGACGGUACCUUAUCAUAAAUCCACGGCUAACUAAGUGCUAGCAGUCGCGGUAAUACGUAGGUGGCAAGCGUUGCCCGGAAUUAUUGGGCGUAAAGCGCGCGCAGGAGGUCCUUUAAGUCUGAUGUGAAAGCCCACGGCUCAACCGUGGAGGGUCAUUGGAAACUGGGGGAAUUGAGUGCAGAAGAGGAAAGUGGAAUUCCAAGUGUAGCGGUGAAAUGCGUAGAGAUUUGGAGGAACACCAGUGGCGAAGGCGACUUUCUGGUCUGUAACUGACGCUGAGGCGCGAAAGCGUGGGGAGCAAACA
rnacentral:rRNA from 1 species